AGUGUGCAUCGCUCUGAUCCUUCACUCUGAUUGUUCGUUUCCUUAGGUACCUUAGGUAACGGAAGCCCCGUAGAUCAUAGGUCUCUUGGAGUGUCACUAGGGUAGGUAGUAUCAAAGCCUGGGCUGCAGCAGCCCUAACAAGCUACCCCUGGCUUCUUAUUCCCUAUGCGCCAUUAAACAGACAGGUAAUUCCGAGAAGACUGUCUUAGUCACUGUUCUGUUGCUGUGAGGACAGAGAACAGGGCAAUUCCAUCUUGAAGGGGAGCCCAGGAGCACACGUAAAGCUGGAGCAGCCCAUGACAGCCAUAUCUUGAUCCACAGGAAGCAGGUAGACAGAGGGUCUGGGUCUGACGUGGGCUUUUGAAACCUCAGAGACCGACUCCUAGUGACACGCCUUCUUCCGAAAAGCCACACCUUUUUUUUUUUUUUUUUAAGAUUUACUGAUUUCCCACCCGCUCUGCAGGUUUCCCAUGUGGGUGUCCCAUGAAUCUGUAUCUCCAACAUACCCGGAUCUCCAAUACAAUCUAGGCUUCAUCUUCACAACUUUAGACAAUAACUCCUGCGCCUCCAUGCAGGGACACCACCGCAGAUGCACACCUGGCUUCAGGGGCUUUCUUGUUGCCUUGGAGGGAAAUUCCACAACCCGUUUCUUGUACCCUUGGCUCUAAAGCAGGAACCACAUUGCCGAAGCUGCCAAGUUCUGCUUGUUGGGGCUGGAACAUUGAGUUACGUUUGCCUCAGCUUUUCUUCAUGGCUUACGCUGUUCUUUAAUUUCUUCUCAUAAAUUUGAAGCUUUGUUGGUUGGGUGGGGCCUUGCACUGAGGUCACUCUUUUGACCCCAUUUGUGGCAGGCUUUCCUUUCCGCUUGCUCUCCUAAGCACUGGACAUGGCUCCAUCACAUGCAUGGUCCUCCUGUUCUCCUCAAGCUUCACGCUUGUCUAUUUCUCAUUGUUCAGUUUGUUCCUUUUCCUUAUAGAUCUGCAAAAGAGGUAUUGCUAAUAACCACAUAACAUAGCCAAUAGCAGACCCUCCUGGAAUUAUUAAUGCCAUUAAUCUCAAUAUAUACCAUCAAGAAGAUUGUUUUUUGAAACUUUUUAAAAGCUUUAUUUUCUGUCUUUAGAUACACCAGAAAAGGGCAUCAGAUCCCAUUGCAGAUGGUUGUGAGCCACCAUGUGGUUGCUGGGAAUUGAACUCAGGACCUCUGGAGUCGUUAACUGCUAAGCCAUCUCUCCAGCCCCAUCAUCAGAAAGAUUUUUUUAAUAAAAAUAGGUAGCCACAUUCUUUGCCAAAAUUCCACAACAGUGUUGUCUGAGUCCUUUACUAAUAUUCUUCCUCUCUGAAACCUCUCUAGCUGGGCUCCCACAUCACUGUCCUCCAUGUUCCAAAUAUGCUGACCCAUUAGCUCCCCUACCCCACUUCCCCCUCUGCUUUUUUUAGUCUAAAGUCCCCAAGUUUACCUACAUUCCUCCAAUAAACAGUGUGGCCAAGCCUGUCACAGCAGUACCCCACUCCUGGUACCAAUAUCUUUCUUGGUCAUUGUUCUGUUUUUCUGAAGUGACACCAUAACUCUGACAACCCUGAAAACAUUUAUUUGGGGGCUUGCUUACAGGUUCAGAGCUUCAGUCCAUUAUCAUUAUGACGGGAAGCAUGGUGCUAGAAGUACCUGAGAGUUCUACAUCCUGAUUCGCAGGCAGCCAUCAGAGAGAGCCUGGGCCCCGCAUGGGAUUUUGAAACCUCAAUGCCACACCUCCUAAUCCUUUUAAACAGUGCCCCUGCCUAAGCAUUUAAAUAUAUGAACCUGUGGAAAUCAUUUGUGUUCAAACCACCACACAAAAUGCUUUUAUUUUUCAGCUUGUUUGUUUUGUUUUGUUUUGUUUUCUUGUAGUAUAACCAUACUAGGAAAUGGAUAAGGAGACCCAGCAAUCCCCCACCAAACUCCACCUUUGGAGUACUGCAAUGAUUUAGAUUCAGGGCACAGCCUGGGAGUACACACCGCUCAGAAGUCCUGAUGAAGUUGGGGCUCACCUGCCUUUCACUGCCACCAUUGUCUUGGUUCCUGGUUUCUGUUACAAGUUGUCAACGUUCUGCAGUUUGUUUCUGGGGAAUAGUCUCCAUUAGCUGAGAGCCUUUUCUUUCCCAGAAUGAGACUUAUGAGGGAAAUUGCACUUCCUUGGGUCCUUUGUUUCAAUAGUCUGAUAGCUAAGGGACGAGGUGCAAGUAUCUGUCUCUCUUUCGAAUUUCUUGGCUGCUGGACUGUAGCUCACUUGCUUGUCUGGGAUGCGGGAAGCCCUGCAUUGAUCUCCAGCAUGCCAUCAAACUUCAGUGUGGUGACAUAAUUUCAGUAUGACAUCAUCCUAGCUUUUAGGGACAGAGACAAGAGGAUUAGAAGUUCAAAGUGACUUUGAGGAUAGCCUGGACUGUAUAGGACACCCUGUCUCUAAUCCCACCUACCCAAAACUUAAUGGCUAUAGCUUAAUGGUGGAACACUUGCUUGCAAGUGAAAGCUCUGGCUCCAUUCCUUAGUACCAUGAAGAAAGAAAGAAAGAAAG
rnacentral:lncRNA from 1 species